ACUGUCGACCAAUCGAACUGCUUCCCUCGUUACUCAGAGUGCAAUAGUGUAUCGUGUGAUAAUUAUUAGUGAAUUGUAAAACGUGAAAUAAAGACGAACACGUUAUCAGUGUUAAAACGAACCAGUUUGUAGUUUCGUGUUUGCAAUGCGAGGUACACCCCUCCCAUUUUCUUUCGAUGGAGUCUCAUCAGGCGCGCCCACGCGUAGAAUACUUGUCACGUAUCUUAAACGGGAUUCAAUCGGAGUAUAAGGGAUACAGGGAUUAACCAGGAACCCUUAACAAGAACGGAUAAAGAUCCGAUUACACCGACAGUACCUUCUUACUAAUUGUGGAAUCCAACACCUUGCCCAACACCCUUACACUUAUGGGGUUGAAAAUGGAUUCAGAUUUCUUCGUUACCCUUGCCGUAUCGCAGGGGUGGAAUUUCCUCGUUACUUUUCUUUCUCUUCUAUUAAGUAUCUGUCGCAGCGAAGAUUCAAGAUCGCACUGACUGACUCUAAGUAUAAGGGUAGCGAAGGCGACACCCCCCACGGCGUCGCGACGCCAAACAUUCGUGACUGGCUGCAGCCUAGCGCUUUCUCAGUUCUGGCCAGACGGGCGAGUUGUAGAAAAGUCGUCACAUGGGGAUGGGUUUUAGACGAAUAGGGGUUGCAGGGAAUGGCUAUAUGUCUCUUCGUGGAAAACACCUAGCAGUCACAGAGCUGCUUGCUGGUUCAUUGCGUAGCUAUUGAUCGGUUCCGUAAAAACGGUGUCAGACCUGGAGAUCACUUCCCGUUCGAUGCUAUGCUAACUAACUAUAGUAUAUAAUGAAUCGCCAACGAGCCAACCCCUCUAGCACUAGCAUUCUACAGGAGCUUGUCUAUGGCAUUGGCUAGUGACGCCGGAAAUUAUUGGGGCGGAAUUUCCGAUAACUUUUGACACGGUUCACCCCCUGAUCGUUUUAUGGUUAAUCGAUGCGGCGCACCUGUUUUUGUUUCCGCCGUCUUUUAUAAACUUUUUAAAAAAUUCGAAGCUUUAAUCGCCCUCGAUUAUAUAAGAAUUUAUACAGCGCAUCAGCAGCGAUUUUUAUUAUACGUGUGUAAUUUUCAUUGUUAUUUAGAGGCUCGUAAAUUUGCGUUGAUUACUGUACUGAGUUAAUUAUAGACAAACGUAGGACGAAUGAAUUCUUAAUUAAAUAGCAAAUUUUAUCUUAUUUAUACAGACAAUAUUAUUUGGUGAUACGUUAUGUUAAUUAAAGUUAACGGGGCGGUAACGUUUUCCCAGGAACCAAGAGUUGGAUGCUGGCGUUGUUAGUCGUUUGGAAUUAAUUAGAACAAGUUAAUCAGACCAUGCAAAUCUGAAUUAAUUUUUUCAAUAACUUUACAGCCAAUAGUCGAUCAGUGUUUGUGUUUUUUUUUUUUGGGAUUACAGUAAAUAAAUAUAUGCGAAAUUAACUAGCGUCGAUCGAUAAGCUUACGCGUCGCGACGCUGGCACGAAACGUCACCUACGCACGGCUUUCACGCACGUCAUAGUAUUCACCUACUUAUAUAUAGAACAUGUACCCAGAAAAAAAGGUAGAAAAGAGAUUUUUCGACAGGAUGAAAAAAAAUCUGUUUAAGGGUGCAACAUUAUAUUGUGGAAUGUGAAAUUUUGUAAAUCCAACUGGAGAAUUAUCGAUCGCCUGUGCCGUAAGAGGAUGAUUUUAUUUUUUAUGAAAUUUUAUGAUGCAAUUUUUAAUGUUUACAUACUCGAAUCGAGAUAACUUCUAUAAAAGUCUAUAUUUAUCUUACCAAAACGUAAGUAGUGCAAACUCGUGGAGCUCCACCAUGUUGCCUCUAGCGUAACUUUUAAUCGACUGAUUAUUUUUUUAAGCUCGCCUGGAUCUUACGUCAAGGUGGAGUCGACGAGUCGAUGUCGUGCACCAGGGUUGGAAAGAACCUACAGAAGCUACAAAGCCUACGUUGAGGAUAACUUCGACGGGAAAUAAUGUAAUGACGAACUUAUGGAAACUAACAGGGACAACGAGUGUGACUUGAUUGACUAUUGAUUUUAGUUACCAAUAUGUCUCAUGGCAAUAUCCACAGACGUCUGUUGGAGUGAAUCGUGCCUGAGGGAAAAGGAUUCUUAAAAGAAUUUCAUAGGCGAGAAAAGUGCAUGUUAAAUAUUGAAUAAACGCAAAGACGUGACAGUCGCUCGAAAACGUUUCUGAAACACUCCGCCAGGUCGCGUUGAGGGUGAAAAUGUCUGUAGUGGUUGGAGGUGGGUAUUGAAAAUGGUAAAGGAGUAGACGAAUAUCGUUUAAGUUCUUCAAUCCCAGUGUGGGUUUUCCUUCUUGUGAUUUCUCCGUGUCUGCCAUCCUUUUUUUUUUUAAUAGAUCAACCCCUUUGACAGUACUAAGAAAACCGAUGUACACUGCCGUCGGAAAGUUUCCAGCCAAGGUGGGAAAAAGUAAAACUCAUAAGCGUUUGAGGUAUGUUUUGGGUCGUACUGAGCGCUGAGGAGCGGGGAUGUGCACGUUGUUCUGUAGAAAAAUCUUAAAUACGAUUUAGUUUAAUGCUGACCGAGAAACAGGGUUCGAGUGCAUUUGUGGGCCUUGCCCGAAAACUUUUCGACAGUAGUGUAUGUCUAAGGAAUCAUAUUUAUGCUCUGCGGCAUUUCGGGGCGGACUUUUUUUUUGGGAAAGAUAUUUUGUUUUCAGUUUAUGGUAAAAGAGCCAAGAUGUUUGGCAAUGCUGUUGUGCAUUAGUUUGUAUUCUUAAAAUUUACAUAAUCUUACUUAUGUAUUUUUGUAUUUUCUUUCAAUUGUGUUAUGUGUAUGUUUGGGGAUUUGUUUUUGGAAUUGAUACAUUGAAAUUAUUUGAGGAUUUUACAGAUAUCUUGAGAGUUGUAAUGAUCAUGUGGAUGUAACGAUUAGUUCUGGAAUUUUGAGUAAUCUUUUUGUGGAUUUUCUAAUGAAAUAAAUAUACGGUUGUUGGGUUCUUUGAAAAUUUUCUGGUAUCUAUUUUAGGAUUCCAAGGAAACAUGUUUCCCCGAUCGAAUUUUUAGACAGGUUGUGAUGUACGGUUGCUCGUAUAAAGUAAGGUAAAAGUUUCACGCGAACGCUAUAAAUCAUGACGCGAGAUAAACUGGUUAUAACGUUUCAACGGUAUAGCUAUUGUUUGUAUAAUUAUUGGGAUUUUUAGUGCUGCGUGAGAAUUCGGCUUGUUCAAAGAGACUGGGGACCUCGAAUGGCAAUGCAGAAUUUUGAGUUGUGAAAAUAGUAAUUAAGAAUUUUGCAGGUAUUUUUUCUUAUUCAAUUUAAAGAAUCGUUUUGAUACCGUUGUAGCAAAGAUUAAUGAAAAAUUGGAAGAGAUAUCUGGCCGGGAAAUUGAGAUAUAGAUCUUGAGAAACGUGACAGUCUGAUUUAUAAAGAUUGGAAAAUAUAAAAUUUUGGCGGUGAAGUUUUAUUUUUUUCAUAAACCUACUACUUAGUGUCUGUAACGGUUCUAUUUAUUGAUCAAAUAAUGAUGUUACCUCGAAUUUUCUGUACUGCCGGUAAACGAGUUUUCUGGGAAAGCUGCAGUCGGUAAGUCAGAACUGAAAACUACAUUACCUACUAAAGCUCGCAAGCUCACAGUAACUUUAUCGUCUUUGUUGACGAAUGAUUGGUCCUUGCAAGCUCAGUAGGUAUUUAAUAUUUUUUCCGAAUCGUAAAUUGUACAAGUUUUUUUUUUUUCUAUAUCGACUGUACAGUUAAUGCCACUGAUAAAACAGCUCGCUGAUGAAGCUGUACAUCAUUUUAAAUCUACGGCGAAAUUUCUCAUUUGCACAACUAAGGAAAUUAAUCAUCAAGACAAAGCUGUAUAAAAAUAUAUAUUUAACGAUAAUCCCAAAAAAAAUAAUG